rnacentral:sRNA from 1 species
UCAUGAUUUCAGCAUCAGUAUGGGCCCA